rnacentral:rRNA from 1 species
UUUGACGGUACUAUCAAAGGAAGCACCGGCUAACUUCGUGCCAGCAGCCGCGGUAAUACGAAGGGUGCAAGCGUUGUUCGGAUUUACUGGGCGUAAAGCGCGCGCAGGCGGAUUAUUAAGCCAGAUGUGAAAUCCCGGGGCUCAACCCCGAAACUGCGUCUGGAACUGGUAAUCUAGAGUUAUGGAGGGGAGAGCGGAAUUUCGCAUGUAGGGGUAAAAUCCGUAGAGAUGCGAAGGAACACCAGAGCCGAAGGGGGCUCUCUGGCUAUUAACUGACGCUGAGGCGCGAAAGCGUGGGUAGCAAACAGGAUUAGAUACCCUGGUAGUCCACGCCGUAAACGAUGAGUACUAGAUAUUGGAGCCUUUGACCGCUUCAGUGUCGCAGCUAACGCAUUAAGUACUCCGCCUGGGAAGUACGGUCGCAAGACUAAAACUCAAG